GAGCGGUAGCACAGGGUGAGCUUGCUCCCUGGGUGACGAGCGGCGGACGGGUGAGUAAUGUCUGGGAAACUGCCUGAUGGAGGGGGAUAACUACUGGAAACGGUAGCUAAUACCGCAUAACGUCGCAAGACCAAAGAGGGGGACCUUCGGGCCUCUUGCCAUCAGAUGUGCCCAGAUGGGAUUAGCUAGUAGGUGGGGUAAUGGCUCACCUAGGCGACGGAUCCCUAGCUGGUCUGAGAGGAUGACCAGCCACACUGGAACUGAGACACGGUCCAGACUCCUACGGGAGGCAGCAGUGGGGAAUAUUGCACAAUGGGCGCAAGCCUGAUGCAGCCAUGCCGCGUGUGUGAAGAAGGCCUUCGGGUUGUAAAGCACUUUCAGCGAGGAGGAAAGGUGGUGAAGCCUUAAUACGUCCAUCAAUUGACGUUACUCGCCAGAAGAAGCACCGGGCUAACUCCGUGCCAGCAGCCGCGGUUAAUACGGAGGGGUGCAAGCGUUAAUCGGAAAUUACUGGGCGUAAAGCGCACGCAGGCGGUUUGUUAAGUCAGAUGUGAAAUCCCCGGGCUCAACCUGGGAACUGCAUUUGAAACUGGCAAGCUAGAGUCUCGUAGAGGGGGGUAGAAUUCCAGGUGUAGCGGUGAAAUGCGUAGAGAUCUGGAGGAAUACCGGUGGCGAAGGCGGCCCCCUGGACGAAGACUGACGCUCAGGUGCGAAAGCGUGGGGAGCAAACAGGAAUAAAUACCCUGGGUAGUCCACGCUGUAAAACGAUGUCCAAUUUGGAGGUUGUGCCCUUGAGGCGUGGCUUCCGGAGCUAACGCGUUAAAUCGACCGCCUGGGGAGUACGGCCGCAAGGUUAAAACUCAAAUGAAUUGACGGGGGCCCGCACAAGCGGUGGAGCAUGUGGUUUAAUUCGAUGCAACGCGAAGAACCUUACCUACUCUUGACAUCCAGAGAACUUAGCAGAGAUGGUUUGGUGCCUUCGGGAACUCUGAGACAGGUGCUGCAUGGCUGUCGUCAGCUCGUGUUGUGAAAUGUUGGGUUAAGUCCCGCAACGAGCGCAACCCUUAUCCUUUGUUGCCAGCGGUUCGGCCGGGAACUCAAAGGAGACUGCCAGUGAUAAACUGGAGGAAGGUGGGGAUGACGUCAAGUCAUCAUGGCCCUUACGAGUAGGGCUACACACGUGCUACAAUGGCGUAUACAAAGAGAAGCGACCUCGCGAGAGCAAGCGGACCUCAUAAAGUACGUCGUAGUCCGGAUUGGAGUCUGCAACUCGACUCCAUGAAGUCGGAAUCGCUAGUAAUCGUAGAUCAGAAUGCUACGGUGAAUACGUUCCCGGGCCUUGUACACACCGCCCGUCACACCAUGGGAGUGGGUUGCAAAAGAAGUAGGUAGCUUAACCUUCGGGAGGGCGCUA
rnacentral:rRNA from 1 species